rnacentral:lncRNA from 1 species
AAUGGGGGGAAAAGAGGGUUUAGCUGCAGAGAGGUGAAGGGGGGAGGGUAGAGGAAGUAGAGGGAAAAGGGGAGCUCAGUCUGGGUUAGGAUAGGUUAGGUUAUCCUAACCUAAAAGAAGUUAGGAUAACUUCAUGGAUGAGGAGUAGCAUGGCCUAGUGGAAAGAACACAGGUCUGGGAGUCAGAGGAAUUGGGUUCUAAUCCCAGAUCCACCACUCGUCUGCUGUGUGGUCUUGGGCAAGUCACUUAACUUCUCCAUGCCUCAGGUCCCUUAUCUGCAAAAUGGGGAUUCAAUACCCCUUCUCCCUACUUAGACUGUGAGCCCCAUGUGGAACCUGUUAAUCUGUGCUUGGCACAUAAUAAUUGCUUAAUAAAUACCAAGAUUAUCAUUAUUAUUGUGAGAGGUUCAUAAUUGGCUCUUAGGGGGGAAAGUUAGGGGUGAAAGAGCAAAAAGGGUUGUUGGAUGGUUAUAAUAAUAAUAAUAAUUAUGGCAUUUGUUAAGCACUUACUAUAUACCAGCACUGUUCUAAGCACUGGGGUAGAGACAAGGUAAUCAAGUUGGACAUAAAUCCUGUCCCACAUGGAGCUCACAGUCUUAAUCCCUUUUUUACAGAUGAGGUAACUGAGGCACAGAGAAGUGAAGUGACUUCACAAGUGGUGGAACUGGAAUUGGAACUCAUGGAAAUAUGCAACUCGGGGAAUCCCUCUGUUUUUCAAAGCCUAACUGGCAUUUCUGAGGCUGUCAAGGUGGGCAUUUCUUCUUCUGUCUGACUUCAGUCAGCCCAUUGAAUUUAAAGCACUUACUGUGAACAGAGGACUGUACUAAGCACUUGGAAGAGUACAGUAAAACAGUGUAACAAAUAAAUUCCCUGCCCACAACGAGCUUAGUCUAAAGGGGGGAGACAGAAAUUAAUAUAAACAAAUUACAGAUAUGUACAUAAGUGCUGUGGGGCUGGGAGAGGCGAUGAAUAAAGGGAACAAGUCAGGAGGAUGUAGAAGGAAGUAGGAGAAAAAGAAAAACAUUUCUCUCUCUUUUGGUAAGUUAUUUUGUGUCUCUCUUCCCUUCUGGAAUACAAGCUGCUUGAGGAUAAGGAUCGUGACUUCGUCUAUUGAUGUUUCCCAAGCGUUUAGUACAGUGGUCUGUACACAGUGGGUCCUCCAUUAAUACAAUUGACUGAUUGAUUAAAAGGCUUCCACUGAAACACUUGCAUUAAAAAGAGAAAAGAUCACUUCGGGAAUUCACUAUAGUAAGCACUUAACUAAUACCAUUCAAAACGAACAGACAGAAACAAAAAACAGCAAAAAAGUUAGGACAAAUGUCCACGUGACCUGAAACCCUGACCUUUAUCCUCAGUCUAGAAUUUACCUCCAUCCUAUUAUAAACUUUUGGACUCUACUGUCUCCUCUUCUGGUUACCUUCAUGGUUCAUUAUUGAUCUCUAUUCAGAUCUAGAGAUGAUAUUUAUGCAUCCCUAAAAACAUUUCAUUGCAGGAACAGAUUAAUUUUGUAGAGAAAGCUUAUGAUUGAAUUCAGCUGUAAACUGCAAACUUUGGAAAACCAUUUCAAGCUUCUAAUUCUCUGGGUUUCAAUGAAUCUAAUGAGAUCUACUGGCAAACCCUAAAUAAUGGGCUAUAUACCCAGACAGACGUUAUACAGAAUCACAGGUCUAAGGAGUCAUCAAUCAACAGUAUUUAUUGAGCAUUUACUGUGUGCACUGGACUAAGUACUUGAGACUGGACUAAGUAUUUGAGAGAGUAGAGUGCAGCAGUAUUGACAGUCACUUUCCCUGCCCACAAAGAGCUUACAGUCUCAAGGAAAUUACUUGUUUUCAAGUUCAGUUACAGGGAAGAAGCAGGGAUUACUUCUACCUGGUCACUCCUCUCCUUGAGGUAACUUAAAAAUACAGUUUAGACAUAACAAAGCACAGAUUUGGAUCAUGCCAUUUAGCCAUUGGGUUGUCAACUAGCCAUUUUCAAAAAGUUUCAGUUAUGUGUUGCUGUGUCAGCUAUGAUAGUUCCAGAGCCCAGAAUUAAGUCUUUUGGGUAAUCACUACACAAUCCAGUUCAUUAUAACUCAAAUACUAAUCGAUGAUGAUACAGUGAAGCAGUCUUAUACAAC